CAACAGAUGUGGAGUUGGCUGGACUA
rnacentral:piRNA from 1 species